AACGAACGCUGGCGGCAUGCCUAACACAUGCAAGUCGAACGAGCCCUUCGGGGCUAGUGGCGCACGGGUGCGUAACGCGUGGGAAUCUGCCCUUAGGUACGGAAUAACUCAGGGAAACUUGAGCUAAUACCGUAUAAUGACUCCGGUCCAAAGAUUUAUCGCCUAAGGAUGAGCCCGCGUAGGAUUAGCUAGUUGGUGAGGUAAAAGCUCACCAAGGCGACGAUCCUUAGCUGGUCUGAGAGGAUGAUCAGCCACACUGGGACUGAGACACGGCCCAGACUCCUACGGGAGGCAGCAGUGGGGAAUAUUGGACAAUGGGCGAAAGCCUGAUCCAGCAAUGCCGCGUGAGUGAUGAAGGCCUUAGGGUUGUAAAGCUCUUUUACCCGGGAUGAUAAUGACAGUACCGGGAGAAUAAGCCCCGGCUAACUCCGUGCCAGCCGCCGCCGUAACAC
rnacentral:rRNA from 1 species